rnacentral:rRNA from 1 species
GUUGUGGUUGAGGGUACUUGCAGAAGAAGCGCCGGCUAACUACGUGCCAGCAGCCGCGGUAAUACGUAGGGCGCAAGCGUUGUCCGGAAUUAUUGGGCGUAAAGAGCUCGUAGGCGGUUUGUCGCGUCUGCCGUGAAAACCCGAUGCUUAACAUCGGGCUUGCGGUGGGUACGGGCAGGCUAGAGUGCGGUAGGGGUGACUGGAAUUCCUGGUGUAGCGGUGGAAUGCGCAGAUAUCAGGAGGAACACCGAUGGCGAAGGCAGGUCACUGGGCCGUUACUGACGCUGAGGAGCGAAAGCAUGGGGAGCGAACAGGAUUAGAUACCCUGGUAGUCCAUGCCGUAAACGUUGGGCACUAGGUGUGGGGAUUGUUCCACGAUUCCUGUACCGUAGCUAACGCAUUAAGUGCCCCGCCUGGGGAGUACGGCCGCAAGGCUAAAACUCAAAGGAAUUGACGGGGGCCCGCACAAGCGGCGGAGCAUGCGGAUUAAUUCGAUGCAACGCGAAGAACCUUACCAAGGCUUGACAUACACCGGAACUGCUCAGAGAUGGGUAGGUCUUCGGACUGGUGUACAGGUGGUGCAUGGUUGUCGUCAGCUCGUGUCGUGAGAUGUUGGGUUAAGUCCCGCAACGAGCGCAACCCUUAUUCCAUGUUGCCAGCACGUUAUGGUGGGGACUCAUGGGAGACUGCCGGGGUCAACUCGGAGGAAGGUGGGGACGACGUCAAAUCAUCAUGCCCCUUAUGUCUUGGGCUUCACGCAUGCUACAAUGGCCGGUACAAAGGGUUGCGAUACCGUGAGGUGGAGCGAAUCCCAAAAAGCCGGUCUCAGUUCGGAUUGGGGUCUGCAACUCGACCCCAUGAAGUCGGAGUCGCUAGUAAUCGCAGAUCAGCAACGCUGCGGUGAAUACGUUCCCGGGCCUUGUACACACCGCCCGUCAAGUCACGAAAGUUGGUAACACCCGAAGCCGAUGGCCUAACCACUUGUGGGGGGAGUCGUCGAAGGUGGGACUGGCGAUUGGGACUAAGUCGUAACAAGGUAGCCGUACCGGAAGGUGCGGCUG